GAUGAACGCUGGCGGCGUGCCUAAUACAUGCAAGUCGAGCGAACAGACGCGGAGCUUGCUCCUCUGACGUUAGCGGCGGACGGGUGAGUAACACGUGGAUAACCUACCUAUAAGACUGGGAUAACUUCGGGAAACCGGAGCUAAUACCGGAUAAUAUCUUGAACCGCAUGGUUCAAUAGUGAAAGACGGUUUUGCUGUCACUUAUAGAUGGAUCCGCGCCGCAUUAGCUAGUUGGUAAGGUAACGGCUUACCAAGGCAACGAUGCGUAGCCGACCUGAGAGGGUGAUCGGCCACACUGGAACUGAGACACGGUCCAGACUCCUACGGGAGGCAGCAGUAGGGAAUCUUACGCAAUGGGCGAAAGCCUGACGGAGCAACGCCGCGUGAGUGAUGAAGGUCUUCGGAUCGUAAAACUCUGUUAUUAGGGAAGAACAAAUGUGGAAGUAACUAAGCACGUCUUGACGGUACCUAAUCAGAAAGCCACGGCUAACUACGUG
rnacentral:rRNA from 1 species